rfam:Botryobasidium botryosum FD-172 SS1 unplaced genomic scaffold BOTBOscaffold_42, whole genome shotgun sequence.
GACCGAUUAGCUCAGUGGUAGAGCGUGUGAUUCCAGUCUUGGAGCAUCCACAAGGUCGUCCGUUCAAUCCGGGCAUUGGUCA